ensembl:lncRNA
GACCUCAUAAGGGAGGUCCCCAUGGGUAAUGCUGCCCUGCAGAAACGAUGUGUUUGCAUACCUGUUUUGAGCAGGAACUGAAGAAAGAGGCUGUAUGCCAAUGGCUUUGCUGUGGGUAAAGUGCCUAUUCCAGGAGCCUGAAACUCAUGCUUAGAACAUACUGUUGUUAGAUGGAAUUUGCUUGAUUAGGAAACUUAUCUACUUCUAGAACUCUCCUCCCGUGUCUUGGAGGACUCAGAUGGAUAUACAACUCAAGAAAAAGCUAAAUGAAUAUUUCUUCUCACGUGACAGUCCAGUGCUAGAUCUUAUGGGGACUGGCAAACCACUGAUCACACAGUCUCUUCCCUUAGGAAACUUUAUAAUUAAUGGAGGACAAGUGGUACAAUCAGACAACUUGUCAUUUUCAUUCUUCUGGACUGUCUUUAUCCUCCUGGUUGGAAUCAUGGCUCUACUUCUUCUGUUAGCCCACCUUCCAAGUGUGCUACCAAGCAGAAACUCAGACUCUGGUUCAAGUUCUAAAAUCCUAUGCUGGUGCCUAGCUUAGGUCAGCUGCCCAACCCUGUACCAACUACAGAGAGGGUGGACCUUGUAAAAACAUAAAGUUGGAAAGAAUAUGGAUGUCACUUCUCAAACCACAUAUUUGGACUUGGGAAGGAGCAUUUGUGAGAAGAAGUUGAGGGAGGGGGUAAAAAUAAAAAGUGUAUUUCCCUGGGUGAAAUAAGAAGAGUGUAGGCUGAUGAAAUGAAAGAUGCCUCAAAAUACAAAGUAUAAGUUAUGGAAGAGGUGGUUGGAAAGAUUCAUCAGAGUCAGAUUAUGGAGCUCAUUGCAUGCUGACCUAGGAUGUAUAAUCUUUGUGCUCGAGAUAAUAUUUAGCACCAGUGGGUUUUGAGUAGAUGAUUUUCAUCAUAUCACUUUCCCUGGCUUUUUACCAGCUCUCCAUUAAAUCCAGUCACUAUGGAUUCAAAUAAAGGAGACCUAUUAGAUAGAAAUAAAGGUUGAGAUUUUAUCACAAACAAUGACCAGGCAGAUAAACUGGGUAGGAUAGAGGGAAUAAUAUAAAGCAUUCACUUUGAAAGUAUUUUACUUACACAAUAAUGGCUAGUUUUAAUUGAGAGCGCCGAUGUGGGGAAGGCAUAGAAGAGGCUGAGAUAGUAUUGUUUCACAGCUUCUGCUUCCCUGAAAUAUACUGCUGGUCUCCUGACCCCACAGAGGGGGCUCCUCAGACCUGUCUUGGCAGAUCAGAGCUUCCAAACCUGUAUAUUAACUCAGCCAACAGCCAAGCUCUAGUUCUCUUUUAAUAAAUAUGCCUGCGGUGAAGAGCGUGAAAAAUGGUGAGUCCACAGGGACUUUCAUUGUAGCUCUUUGCUGGAGAAUGCACACCAGCUCUUCUCCUUCCCGAGAACAUCCUGCUUCCCCUAGCGUUAGUGCUGGAGAGGGCUUUGUGGAACUUCCUGUCAUGUUGCCACCUAAACUGCCUUAUGUAAAGGGAGAGAAUUAUUUGUACCACCUGCCAGUGACCAAGGGUUUCCAAACUUUGUUCUGCCUGUCUCCCAUUCAUUUACUUUGAGUUGAAUAUCCUUACUAGGGGAACAAAAGACCUUGGUUCUUGAAUUGAGGAGUGGCUUCAUUUACUGCCUAGAAUGGAGUUUCUUACAUAUGGGGGAAGAGCAACAAACCUAGCUCUGAAAUGCUGACUCAUCAAGAAAUGAUGACAGCUGGAUGGAGUCAGGAGUUUGAUAGCAAGAAAUGAGCUAGGAAAAGUCCCAGUUACUCUUGCUUCCUUGUCAAAGCCUUCAAACAACUACUGGCUUGAGAUAUUCUGGCUGGAGAGUGAAUCGUCUCCAUUCCUGUCGCCGUGAAGGCUGUGUCUUAUUUCUGGGCAGGGAUUGGUCUAGAAUUGCUGAGACAUGAGCUCUGCACAUGAUCUUCAAGUGCUGCCGAUGUGUACAUCAAUGAAAUAUCCAGAAGGCUGGUAAUGGUAACUGAAGAGUCUCCUGACUGACCUCCAGAAUUUCCCUGGAAAGGAUCUUCAUCUGUCAGGGGUGCUGUGGAAGGAUUCUUCAUGACCUAGAAUGUCACUUCCAAGUCCAAGAUAAGUGUUUUUUUAUUAUUCCAUUCUACAGAGCGGAGACCUAUGGUAUGUAAUUAAAAUAGCUUGUUGUUUUAUUUGAUUAUAAAUAUAAUACAUGGUCAGCAUAGAACACAGAGAAAAGUGUUCAUAAAAAUAAGCAGUAUUUUAUUAAGAUGACCACUAUCUCUGAAGGAUAAAUAGCUAAAAUUUGUGAAUGAAAUAAGACAAAUCUCAGAGUUCUUUGUCCCCAGGAUUUUGGUGCUCUGUUUGACCAUCUGCAUGGGGAUGGACAGGGAUAAUCUUUCCAUGAACAAAUGCAAGGCAGGCAAGCAAAGGCGUGGCAGAUAUAAAACAGGAGACAACCAAAAACCCUCUUCUUUUUGAUUUUUACAUGCAUUUUCAUACUUCCAUUUGAGCAGAGACUCGUCUGGUAUAUUUGAAAAUUCACUUCAAAGGAAAUAAUAAAAUCUUGGUGCAAGAGAAAUUGAAGUGCUUUCCAAUUUCCCAACUUCAAUAAAAUGCUCCCUAGUGUUACUCUGAAAGUCACUCUGGAUGGGAAAUUGACAGCAAUGGUUCAUUUCCAAGGUGGUGACGGAGGGGACAGUGAGGGUGGCACUGAGCUAGGGCCAAUAUAGCACCGGGACUGGGAGAACCUGGUCUCUCAGCAGUGAGUGCCAAGAUUCCAAAGCUCUCUGUGCAAAGAUCAUGGCUAAUUGUGGCUAAGAGGCAGUUUUGGAGUAUCUGAGCAGAGGGUGUGUGGCAUCUGAAGCUUCUGGCAGCAUCAUACUUCCCUUUGGAGGGCUGUCGAAAUCAUAGACCCAGGAGAGCCACUCAGAUGGAGACAAUGGGUGUUUUUUGACUCUCUGAGCAGUUAAAUGGGUCCAGAUUAUUCAUGUGACUCAGUGCAGAGAAGAGCACCAAGACCGGUCAGGAGCAGCAUCACCCUCCUUCUGGCGCUGGCAUGUAUUCUCAUUAACCUCCCAUGAACCCAUUGUCCUGGACAUCUCUUAACUCCUUCUCCCCAAAUCUCUAAGCCCUUAGGUCAUUCUUUGGCUCCUGAUACCCACCUCAGGCUUCCUUUGCUUUCGUGAUAGUCUGGAUUUCUCAGAUGGCAGGGUAUUCGUCUGGCCAGCCUGACUCUUUUCUGGCAAACACUUUUGGCUCCACAUCUCCAUUCACCCUGACCCUGUGCGACCCUUCCAGGAAAGUGAAUUCCGAUAAAGGACAGCAGUCAGGGUCUAAUCCUAUGUUGGUCGGAUGGAAAAGUUUUAUUGGAGCUAGGAAAAAAGGACAAGACCCACACAGUUCACUAGAUCGGGCUCAGAGGUGAGAGCUAUGUCCACUGGGGAAAUAAAAGGUAAGUCAGAUUCAGGGUGAAAAGAGAGCCAGACAAAUGCUCCAGACACAGACCAUGCUUGGUAUGUUUCAGAAUGAGUCUCACUCAUGUGUCACAGUCCUCAUUUUCAAGAUGCAGGUUGAGAGGCUGGUCUAAUGUCCCCAAAGCUGGAAGUUGCAGACCUGGAACGUGGGCCCAGGCAUUAUCAUUAUCCUUGUUACACAGAAGAGAGACCUGAGGUCCAUAAGUUGGAAAAGGUUGCUCCCCAGAAAGAAGCAGGAGGAAGGUGGAAUGGGUGCCAAAAGACCAGAAGCUAACCAUUGUCCACUGCAAUGCAGCAUCUAUAGCCACCCUGCUUCCCUUAUGCGUAUUCUCCAAACACCUUCACUUCACAUAAUUCAAUGUUCUGGGUACAACUGACAACACUCUCACUUCUUUACCAAAAAGGAGCAUAUGACACUCCUGUCAAUCACGCCUGCAGCUCCACGUCCAGAAUCUCUGCUUGGUGUUUCCUUCACCGCCACUUCUGUGUGAGCCCAUCUAGAUAUUCGACAGUCUGUGAGGCAGAUGGUUAAUUUAACUAUCACCCUCCCAGCCUACACACUACGUGAGGCAAAAAGAGGAGGAAAGUGGAGGGAAAUUAAUAAGAUACAACAAUGCAGUUUGAGAUUGGCCACGCGCCUUGUUUAUAUCCAUUUGACCCUCUCUAUCUCCACUUGUAUGCCUGUGUGCCACUUUUAUGUCUAAAGUGAGUCUUGACCUCCCCCUAAAACCUGUGCAGUCUUCCCACCUCUGGGCCUAGGCCAGAAACCUUGGGGACCCCCUUGACCCCUCUCUUUUUCAUAUUAUGUCAAAGCUAUCAGCAGGUCUCAUCGGUUUCACUUUCAAAGUCCAUCUAGAAUCCAAACACUCUGCACCUUUUCUGUGAAAACCCUGAUGCAAACACAUCAACUUUUGCUAAGAUUGUUGUCAUGACCUCCUACCUCCUCUGCCUGCUCCUAGUCUUGCCUACUAUAGUCUAUUCUCAACACAGCAGCUAGAGCAAACUGUGAAAAGGUUGUCAGAUCAUUAAACAGCAUCCUGCCCUAACCCCCAGUGGCCUCCAGUACUCUGCAGCUGGAAACUAAAUUCCUCAUCAUGCCUGCAGGGUAUGCCUGAUCAGGUGCCUGUGACUCCCUGAUGGUGACCCCAGCCCUCUCGCUUACUCUACUCCAGCAGCCCUGGCCUCUUCACACGCCUGGCUUGUCCCCACCACACCAUGUGUGCGUACAUUAUCCCUUCUACUUGGAGAUAUCCAUGGGGCUUGCUCCCUGGCAAAUGCUUCUUGUCCUUAUUCAAAUGCCAGCUUCUCAAAGAGGCCUGCUCUGACCACAUAGUUUAAACCCUCUUCCAAGCCCAAAUUCUCUUUCUCUGCCUUUAUUUCCCCCCAUAUUUCUUAUUGUCUUCAGCAUAAUAUGUUUUACUUUUAUAUGGUUUAUUAUCUGCAUAAGCUCCACGAAGAAAAGGAAUUUUGCCUGUUCUAUUCAUCACUCGCCCCUUGGACCAGACAGUGCUUGGCACAUAGGAGGUGCUCAAUAAAUAUUUGUUGAAUGAAUGAAUGAACGAAUGAAUGGAUGUGUGCUUGAAUUGCUUACAGGGCCGUAGCUGGUAUUCCACCAGUCUGUAAUGCUUCCCUCUUCCAGUGCCCAUUCUACUUUCUCUCACCUUUUCCCAGCACUUCAGCCAAUGGAGAGCUCUCGGGAAGGUUAGCGUGACCUGAAUCUGGUGUACCUGCCUGUGCAGAGCUGCUGCCGUCUUCCAUUACCUUUAUUGCAGAUGACAGUGCUGGCAGAGGCCUGACAGGCCAGGAAGCAGAAGUAAAAUCAAAUCCAGGAAUAAAAGUCUGCUUCAACUGGACAAAUUGCAGAGCCCUGCAAUACAGGAGGGCCCAUCGUAACUAACCUGCCACCAGGUAGCUGGAGGACCUCCUAGAGGUAUGUUAUCACACUGCCAACCCCUUCAAGUCCAAGCUGGUCACCCCUGGUGACGGCACGCUGGCCAUAACAUAAUUAGUUGUGUUUUGCCAUUGUUUAUGAUGAUUUGGAGGAGGGGGAGCUCCAAGGAAUGACAGAAUGCUAAAAAACAGCCCGAAAGAACAAGGACCAAGGAAACUCAAGGUAGUAUGAAUUUUGAUAGCCCCAUCAGAACACAGCUUCUGGAAUAAAUCAGCAUGUACCAUCUUUGUGCUCGUUGUGACUGCUCAAAACUCUCGUCCUGGUGUGGAGGAUCUGAGUGAGCCUGCUUAGGUGCCAUAUCUCUGCUUCUUGGCUAUUCCAGACUGCAUCUCGUGAGAGAGAGGCAAUUUCCUCAAAGGAAAUCAAGAUGCUAAUGUUAAGGCGAAAGGGACACUAAACAGCUAUAAACUCGACAAGUUUCCCUAUAUUGGACUUCUUGGUCUGAAGAUCUUCAAGGUGUUCAGAGGUCUUUUGGUGGGGAGGGUCGUGAUGGUUGGGUGGUGGGGUGAAGUGACCAUUAGUCAGGAACUCAGAGAGUUGGUGCAUAAUAAAUGUUGGAUGCUUCCUACCACCCACCUCUCUCUCUACCCCAUCCAUCUCCCUGUGCACAGCCUGAGCUGCUGAUCUUACUUUUUGAUAAUGUGAUAACCACUCACGUUCAUCUCAGAAGUGACCUUUGUCCCAGUGACCUGUGCUCUACCUUUUUAAGGACUGCCCUGACCUCAGGCAUGCACAUCAGGCCACACUGCCGGUUUUUGGUUUGGAAAGUGUGGCUGCAGUCGCCCCAGGCUGCUGGCUCUGCCUCUGAUUAGGUUCACUGUGGCCUUCCAGACAUGGAUUCAUAUAAAAGGCCGCCAUAAAGGAAAGAGGAAAAAAGUGGCUGUGCUGAGCCUCAUGGCAGGUUUUCAUUAGGUCUUGAUGAAGCCUGGGCCUGCAGUCCCCGAGGCCCUUUUCAAUUUCCACUUGAUCUGGCUCAGCGUGCUCCUUAGCCUUGAGGACCCCGAAAGAGCUGGGCGAUUCCUGGGCUCAGGUGUCGUCCAGAACUAAGCUUGGGCUGCGGGUGAGGAGGGAUCUGGAAAGAGACUUUCUAUGGCUUCCAAGAGCAGCAGCGCUGUGUCUCGAAGACUUUUUCCCUGCCUGGUUCUCUGCUGGGCUCCCACCUCUUGAGAGGGAGCCCUGGGAAGCCCUGCCUACGACGUGAGGGAGUCUGGGCUCCAGUUCCAGCCCUGGCAGCCUGCUGGCUCUGUUGCUUGCAUGUUUCCCCUUGGAGCCUCGGCUUCCUGUUCUGUGGAGUAUUGUCAAGAACAGUGUCUGUUCUGUAAGUAGGUGUGUGCAUAUGUGUGCAUAUUUAUUGAUCACGCAAGUAGUUAGGCACUCGGCAAUGCAUUUUAUCAACACUAUUUUAUUUAAUAGUCACGUUUAGCUUUGGGGUUUAAAUAUUAUUAAAUUUACUUUAUCAAUGAGAAAACUGAGGCUCACAAAAGGAGCUAGCUAACAGACGGUUUCGCUGGCGUCAGAAUCCCGCCUGUCGGACCAAACUCACAGCCGCACUUUGCUAUCUCUGUACCUACAUUCUGAAUGCUAUGUCUGGGGCAGAGCGGCCACUUCACAGUCAUCACUACUCUGUUUGAACAUAUGCUUAGUUUCCACGCAUGUGAGUCUCGCUGACUCCACGCACGAGGGCCUAGCUGCCAGGAGCGAUAUUUUGGCAGUGCUUGUCACUGAGAGCAGUUUCAUAUGCUAAUAAGGAUGAACAAUUCAGGGUCAGUAAUCUGUCUGGUGUUUUCCAUCCCUGUUCCUUGCUGGGGCACAAAGUAGACCAGGGAUGAUGCUUCCUGGAGGGAAGGCCAGGCCAUCUGCAGAGCUGUCUCCGUGGAGGGCUUGGUGAGCCUGUUUCUCCCGUGCAGGUAGGGAGAAGGACUGGGGGAGAACAGCCUCUCAUUUAGGGGCCCUUCGUGCUCUGUGCUGGCAGCCUGGCGGCUGCAGGGAGCUGCCGCUCUCCGCGCUGGGACGUUCUCUGCUGCUGAGCAUUUCUCUCUUAUCUCACAUUUCCCAGCGACUGUUUUAAAUUAGGCACCCUGGGAUUCUCUGGACUUCGUAGAGCCCAGUAAACCCUCCCUGGGGAGCAGGCCUAGAAGGCCACGAGGGCUUUUCCUAUUUAGGCUAACGUCUAUGUCACCCUCGAGCUUGGAGGAAUUUUCCAAGCCACUAAUUUGUACUUUGCCAGGAGACGAGAGUGAUGAGCGGUAUUAUUUUAGGCUUUCUAAAUUGGAGCACUGCUUUUGGGUACUUGAUAUUCUCAAUUUCUUAUUUCCUUCAACUCAGAGAUCUGGCAGUUUUUAUUGUGUUGUUUAAAAGGGCAGUUGGGUUUUUCAGAGAAGUAUUUCUGACCCCUCUCUUCAAUGUUCUAAAUGAUAACUUUUGGUUCUGCAAUUUAAUUAAACAAAUAUUUAUCAUGUGCCUAUUAGAUGUCAGGUUCUGAGCUAAGAGCUGCAGAAGGUAUAAAGAUCAAUGAUUUAUUCAUUCAUGCAUUCAUCUAGUCCUUCAUUCAGCGAGCCUUUUUGAGCACCUGCUAUUAACCAGUUACUAGCAGGUGCUAGAACUGGAGCUGUAUGUCAGUUAGGACUGCAUUCUGCUUGGAGUAAUAGAAAGCCUAACGAAAGUGCCUUAAAUAAAUAAGGGUUUUCUUUUUCUUAUACGUCAAGAUGGCUGGAGUCAAAUAGCUACUGGUAUUAGUUAAUAGGCUCUAUGAUGUUUGGGAUGAUAUUUCUGCUCUUGCUGAGCCUCUUCCUCAUGAUCUCAAGAUAGCUGCUGCAGCUCCAGCCAUAAUUUCCACGUCAAGGCAGGAAGAAGGAAAGGCUGUCAGCCAAGUUAGGACAUUUUUAUCAAGAAAACAUAAACUUCCCCACAUCACUCACUCUCAGCCAAUUCCUCCUUAUGGAUCAUUGGUCAAGAUAAAGUCACUGGUCACUCCCUAGGUGAGAGGGAACCUGGACAGGAGACAGGGCUGUCAUGAUUAGCUUUGACCUGUCAUGCUCCCUCUCGGACUUCCGUUAGUAAGGAAGAUAGGAGGGUGACAUUGGAUAAGUAAACAGUAUUUGUAAAAGCACUAAAUGGAAGCGUUAGUGUACUUGCAUCCAGGGAACUGUCAUCUUGGCAGAGGCAGAGGGAGGGGGGUGCUAAACAGAGGAGUGGGGGCGGGGUGGACCACGGUUGCACAGCACUUCACGUGCAUGAGUCCGUUUGAUCCUCAAUAUAAACCUGUGACACAGGCUGAACAGACAUCAUUAGUCCCACUUUAUAGAUGCCCUCGUCUAUAAAACUGAGGCAUGGGGGCCGGGUCCAUGGCUGAGUGGUUAAGUUCGAGUGCUCUGCUGAGGCAGCCCAGGGUUUGGAACCUGGGCGCAGACAUGGCACCGUUCGUCAGGCCACGUUGAGGCGGCGUCCCACAUCCCACAAUUAGAAGGACCUGCAACUAAGUUAUACAACUAUGUACAGGGGGGUUUGGGGAGAUAAAGCAGAAAAAAAAAAGAAGAUUAGCAACGGUUGUUAGCUCAGGUGCCAAUCUUUAAAAAAAGAAAAAAACCGAGGCAUGAAUAGACUAAAUGACGGUAUUCUGGGGGCCAUGUGGGUAAGAUGCAGUAAUCCAGAGAACAAAAUCUAAAUCUGCUGACUCUCGUCCAGUGUUCUCACCAUAGUCCAAGCAUCUAGAGCUGACAUGUGUGGCUUCUGUCCUCUCACCUCCUUCCAUUGUGAAUCGGCUGCCUGCAUCAUGGCCUUAGCCAUCUGUUGACACCCCAUCCGCCACCUGCAUAACCACCAACCCAUCAUCCUCUCAUGCACCCAGUGGCUCCUGCACUCACUCAAAGGCUACCAUUGAUGUGAAGUAGGCAAGCCACAAAUGUCGAAGCAAAUAUUGAAGAAAGAGUGAUGAAUUAAUCCUAAAAGUCAGAUAUUUUUUAAAGGAAUACGAACCACAGAUAUAAGAAAUGAAAGGUUCAAGUUGACUUGCCCAAGGAAGCCAGCCAGAUGGGAAAUCUUCUUCCUAAAUCCCUAAACGUGUUAGGUCUACCUUUCACCGUACAAGUCUCGCAGAUUGUUAAAGGCUAAUGAAAGAUGGAGGUGGUGGGAAGGAACGAGGGGAUAUGGAAUCAUCUGGAAGGACUCAGCUGUGGGAAGCAGCAGCAGGUCAUUGUGGGAAACUUUGUAUUGAAUCACUGUUCCACCAUUUACUAUUUUCAUGCCCCUGGUCAAGGAAUUAAACUUCUAUGAGACUCAUUUUGUGAAAGCUAAUAUUGCCUUCCCCACCGGGUUGUGGUAAGGAUCAAAUCAGGUAAUUUUUCUACAGUACUUAGCAUCAUGCCUGGAACUUAAUGAGCAACCUAUAAAUGUUGCUUCUAUCUGAAUAUGUAAUAACACAAAUCAUUUGACAUACUGUUCAGAACAUGACCAUCGAGGUGAAACAAAUUGGGAUGCUGAGAGGGCAAUUUUCUCGUUAGACGCUCACUGGGAGUGUUUGUCCCCAAAUGUAUUACUCUGAAAUAAAGUGGUAGGUUUCACUCUAUCUAGGUGAUACAAUUAGAUACAGGUUUGCUGUUGUGAUCUCAGGCUGAGACCCAGAAACCACUCUCCGUGUUGCUGUCAAGAGGAGCUUUAACAUGGGGAAUUAGGUGCCGAAUAGGAAAACCUCCCGUGUCUCCCCUUUCUGCUCACACUACUGCCACACUCAACACACUUCUGACACCAGAUCUGCGGGGAAUUUGCCUCUUCCAAGAAGUUCUCUACGACACCAGUUGGGUAUUCUACAAUUUCACUUAAUUCUGACACCAUCUGCCUGGAGAUUUCACAGGUUAAGGGCUCAGUCCCACAAGAUUGCCCCGCCUUCACAAGUCAAUCGCCAAGUCCAGAUCACCACCCGUGCUUCUGACGGCUGGGCUAUAAACCACAGCUUGCCUGACUCCUUCCUUGGGUUUGACUAAUUUGGUGGAGUGGCUCGCGGAACUCAUGAAAACAGUUACUUAUGUUUACCAGUUUAUUAAAGGAUAUGAUAAAGGAUACAGAUGAACAGCUAGAUUAACAGAUACACAGGGUGAAGCAUGCGAGGGUCCCAAGCACAGGAGCUUCCGUUUCUGUGGAGUUGGGGUACAUCAUACUCCUGGGGUGCAGAUGUGUUCACCGACCUGGAAGAUCUCUGAACCCCUACUAUGGGGAUUUUACAGAGGCUGCCAUGCCAUGUAGACAUGAUCAAUUAUUAGCUCCAUUUCCAGCCCCUCUCCCCUCUCUGGAGAAUGAAGGUGCAGCUAAAAGUUCCAAGCUUCUAACCAUGGCUUGGUCUUCUGGUGACCAACUCCCACCCAGGAAACGUCUAGGAGCCUAUCCAGAGUCACCUCAUCAGAACAAAAGAUGCUCCUAGUACUCUUAUCGCUUAAGAAUUUACAAGGAUUUCAGGAACUCUGUGCCAGGAAUGGGGCCAAAGACCAAAUAUAUGUUUCCUAUUAUAAAUCACAACAUCGCAGUUGCUCCAUAGGACUUUUGGCAAAGCUGGGGGUGCAAACGUCGCAGUCUUCCCCUGAAAUCCAUGCACCUGCCCACCUACUUCCAAGGGUUGUUGUUGUUCCUGCUUCCCUCCCCUCUCCACACCUAAUGUGAGUUCCUGUCAUUGGCAGCACAGGGGAGAGCUUAGAAGGGGGGAAAUACUGACUACCAAGGCAUAGAGUCGAUCCUUGUUAUUCAUAGAUUCUCUAUUUGCAAAUUCACCCACGCGCUCACUAAAAAUUAUUUGUAACCCUAAAUCAAUAUUCAUAGUAUUUUUGUGGUCAUUAGCAGUCAUAUGCAGAGCAGCAAAAAAUCUGAGUUGCUCAACAUACAGGUUUCCAGCUGAGGUCGAACAAGGAGCCACUCUGCCUUCUUGUUUCAGUUCUCAUACCUUGAACAAUUGUCCUUUUCAUGGUCUAUUUAGUGCCACUUUUUUAAAAAUUUUUUUCAUUUUUGUGCUUUUCUCUUGGUGAUUUUGUUAUUUAAAAUGGCUCCCAAGCAGGAUGCUGAAGUGCUGUCCAGCGUUCCUGAGUGCAAAAUGGCCGCGAUGUGGUAGACAAGCUUGGUUCAGGCAUGAGUUAUAAUGCUGUUCCGUGGUAAUAAAUCAACAAUAUAUAUUAACCAAGGUGUCUUUAAACAGAAGCACACACAAAACAAGGUUGUGUAUUGAUUGGUUGAUGGACAUGUGAGCAGAGGCUUGCAGGAAAAUAACUCUGCACGUCCUCUAGAAGCAGCGAUUCAGUAUUUGCCAGUCCAGUGCUUGCCGUGACUUCACUGCACGCAGCCUGGGAGAAUAGUGAGAAUCAUCUGUAAUAUUUACAAAGUUCACAAUCAGAGAUGCUACCCAUGCCUUUUUGAUACGUUUCCGAGCUUAUAGUCCUCUUGUCGGUGGCGGUGAGGAUGAGAGGCUCAUCCUUGGAUAUCUUAGGAUCUCCUGGUGAUGAUAUCCGGUUAAGAAGCGAAAUGGUUAGCAUGCUUUGAUAUGCUCAAGGUCAUCUCAGAUUCACAUGCUGGAGCCGGCUUUGAAAUUGAGACUCUAGAAUUUCCAGCAUGGUUUCUCCACAUCUAUGCGCCUUCUCUUGUAGAUUCUUUUUUUAUUUUAGUUUUUGAUCACUUAUAAGAUUAAGCAACCUCUGGCCUGAAACUCCAAUAUUCUUCAGACUUUGAAAGGAGGAAGAUAGAAGAAUUCCUGCUGUCGUCUUAGGGGGGAGGGAGAUAUCAGGUUGGGCCCACUAUCCUCAGGCAGUAAGUUUGCCCUACUUUUACGUGCAAAACACCCACUCGAAGCCCACAAAGGUUAAGAGGUUUGCCUGAGGCUACCAAGAGGUCAAAAAACCUGCCUCUUGCUUCAGUGUCUUUCUUUUUUGCUCUGUGUUUUCAGAAUAAAAUUCAAUUGCUUGAACAAUAAGAAAGUCAAACUAGCUGAUCUCUGAGGUCUCUUGCAAAUUUAAAAUUCCAUGACUUUCUGACUAUAGCAUUCAUUGACAUCUUAACACUGUUCAGUACUGUGCUGGGGGCUGGGGCUGAGCUGGUGAGGGAAGAUACAAAGAGAGAACACGCUGAAUAUGCCACGGAGAGGGAGAGUUUAUGAGUACAAACAGGUCACAGAGUCAUUAACAUUUAAUAACAGUGCAUUGUGUCCUUUGUGCCUUUGAUCAAUGGCACCUCCUCCAGGAAGCUAGACUUGAUUUCCACCCUCUUCCCAGCUGGAAAUUAUUCUAUAAUUUCAACUUCCAUAGCAUUGACCUGAAUGUCUCAUUAAUAUCAAUGACUAACGUUUAUUGGUUGCAUAUUACAAUCAUUCUACUUUACAUAGAGUUCAAGUUAAUCCUCACAGUAGUCCUAUGAGUUAGAUGUUCUUACUGGCUUCAUUUUAUACAUGAGAACACUCUCUUUCUCUUCUGACUUGACCUCUUGUUGGCAUUCCAGCUCCUGUUCACUCUCUCUUUCCUUAGCUGCUAUCUUCCCUUUGGUUUUUAUCACCAGCAUCUCCUGGUCUUUCCCGGCACUCUCUAUUACUUUUCCAUUUUCAAAAUUAGGAUAAGAAUAUUUUGAUCAUCUUUACUGAGGUGUAAUUGGUGUAUAAUAAACUACUGAUGUUUAAAGUACACAGUUUUGUAAGUUUUGACAUAUGAAUAUACCUGUGAAACUGUUGGGGAGGAAAAAAAUUUUCUCUACCCUUCUAGGUUCUUCUGACUAGUCUAAGAAUUAAAUUGACAUGAGAUAGAUUAAGAGGAGAAAAUCAAAUUUAAUUUUGUGUGUACGGGACUUCACAAGAAUAUGAGGCCCAGAAAAGUGAUCAAAGCAGGCAGCUUUUAUACAUUUUAGACAAAGAACAAUGAAUUUGUGAAGAACUGGCAAGACAGAGAAACUUAGGUUUGGGUACUAAUUAGUGAAGAAACUAAGUGGUUUGUUUACACAGACUUCUUAGCCCUGAAUUCCAUAUCUCUGGUGAUAAGGAUGUCUCUCUACCUCCUGCGGAGGAUAACUUUCACAUGAGAGAUUUAUUUCCUCUUUCAGGGGAACAAAGGAGGAUUGGAGUGUCCUUCUUGCAUUGGCUCUUUCUUAAGUAACUUUAAUUCAACAUAUCCAAUAUGCUAAAGUGGCAUAUUUUGGGACAGCCUAGCCUGAACCCUGUCAAAACCAUCACCUCAAUCAAGGUAAUGAACAUACCCACCAUCCCCCAAAGUUUUAUUGUGUCUGUGUGUCCUGUUGCAUUCUCCACCUACCCACCCUCACCCCAAGCAACCUCUGAUCUGCUUUUAGUCACUGAGUUGAGGUAGUACUUUACAUUUUCUAGAAUUUUAUAUAAAUGGAAUUUCAUAGAAGGUGUACUCUGUUUUUGUCUCACUUUCAAUCAGCGGGGCUAUUUUAAGAUUCAUUCUUGUUGUGUCUAUCAGUAGUUAAUUCCUUUAUAAGUAGUAUUCUGUUGUAUAGAUAUAUCACAAUUUGCUUAUCCAUUCACCUGCUGGCGGACAUUUGCAUUGUCCCUGGUUUUUGGCUAUUACAAACAAAGCUGCCAUGAACAUUCAGAAUGUACAAGUCUUUUAUGGACUUUAAAAAAAAAAAAUCUCAUGAGUAAAUACCUAGGAGUGGCAUGGCCAAAACAUAUGAUGCAUGUUUAAUUUUUAAUCAAACAACCCAAAUAUUCUCAAAAGUGGUUGUACCUGUUUAUUUUCCCACCAGCAAGGCACAAGAGUUCCAGUUCUGCCAAGUCCCUGUCAACACUUAGUACAGUCAGUCUUUUUAAUGUUAGCCAUUUCACAUUGUGGUUUUAAUUUCCAUUUUCCUGAUGACUAAUAACGUUGAACGUAUUUUCAUGCACUUAUUUGCCAACCUUACACAUUUUUUGUUCAGAUCUUUUGCAAAUAUUUCUUUUAGUCCGUUUUCUUUUAAUUGAAUGUUGAGAGUUCUUUCUAUAUUCUGGAGGUAAGCACUUUAUCAGAUAUAUGUUUGGCAAAUAUUUUCUCCAAGUCUGUGGCUUUUCUUAAUAGUGACUUUUGAAGAGCAGAAGAUUUUAAUUUUAUAAAAGCCAAUUUAUUAAUUUGUUCUUUUAAAACUAGUGCUAUUUUUUUGUGUGUGUGAGGAAGAUCGACCCUGAGCGAAUGUGUAUUGCCAAUCUUUCUCUUUUUGCUUGAGGAAGAUUGUUGCUGAGCUAACAUCUGUGACAGUCUUCCUCUAUUUCAUGUGGGAUGCCACCACAGCAUGGCUUGAUGAGCAGUGCUAGGUCUGCACCUGGGAUCCAAACUUGCAAACCCCGGGCCACUGAAGCAGAGCGUGUGAACUCAACCAUUAUGCCACCAGGCAGGGCCCUAAAGGUAGUGCUUUUGGUAUCAUAUCUAAGAAGUCUUUGGGUAACCCAAAUUCAUAAUGAAUUAUUUUCUGUUUUCUUUUAGAUGUUUCACAGUUUUAUGUUUGACCUUCAGUUGUAUGAUCCAUUUGAGUUAAUUUCUCUAUAUGCUGUUAAAUAUGGAUAGACGUGUGUUUGUGUGUGGGGUUAUCCCCUUUCCAGCAUCAUUUGUUGAAAACAUUAUCAUUUCUCCAUGGAAUUGCCUUUGCACCUUUGUUGAAAACCAGUUGUCCAUAUAUACGUGGAUCUCUUACUGGACUGUUUUGUGUUCCAUUGAUCUAAUCACCUAUUUUGACAUGAAACCAUAUGUUUUGAUUAUUGUAGCUUUAAAAUAAGUAUUGAGAUCAAAUAAUGCUACUUCUCUAGCUUUCUAGUUCAUUUUCACAGUUGUUUGGCUAUUCUAGGUGCUUUGCAUUUCCAUAUGAAUUUUAGAAUCAGUUUGUCAAUUUCUAUAGAAAGAGCUCACAGAGAUUUCAAUUGGAAUUGCAUUGAAUGCAUAGCUCAAUUUGGGGAGAAUUGACAUCUUAAUGAUAUUGAAUCUUCUGACCCAUGAACUUAGUGUGUUUCUCCAUUUAUUUAAGCCUUCUUUAAUCUCCCUCAGUGUUUUCUAGUCUUCGGUAUACAGGUCUUUUUUUUGGUCGUAUUUUCCCUAAAUAUUUAAUAUUUUUUCAUGUUUAAUAAAAUAUAUUUUUAAUUUAAUUUCAGAUUUCCAUUGUUCAUUUAUAAUACAUAAAAUUAUAAUGAAUUUUGUGUAUUGGUCUUAUAUGCAGCAACCAUGCUCAUCUCACUUAGGUAUUUAGAGAUUUUAUACUAUUUUCUACAUUAUCAAUUGUAGGGGAGGUAAAGCUUUUCCUUGACUUUCUUAGGUUCUGUAGCUAGGGCCUGUGAACUAACUGAUAAAAGAAAGAUUAAUAGGGUAAAAGAGAAUACAAAUUUGAUUAAUAUUUUUAAUUUUACAUGCAUGAAGGAUACACAGAAAGGAAGUGAAAACCCAAAGAAGUGGUUAGACUCUGAACUUUAUAUACCAUUUUAACAAAGCAUGAUAAGGAGAAGUAACUAGACAAAGGAAAGGGGAAUUUGGGUUUCUAGGGGCCGUAAAUCAUAAGACGGUAAAUAUAUGGGGAAACUAAUGGAAGAUGAGAGUUAUCUUAGUAAGGUUUGUUUGCACAGACUCAUCUUGAUUCCGACUUGGUCUUCCUCAUGGCCAUAAAACUCCCCUGGAGAGGGGAUUUAGAGCAGUCUCAUUUCUCAGAAGUUUCUGCUUUUAGUCGGUUAAGGGAAUCCCCAAAAAUGCUUCUUUCUGUAUCUGUUGAUUCUCAAUAGCCUUCAGCUCAAAAUAAUCCACACACCAAAGUGGCAGACUUUUGGGCAGCACAUUCCGAUCAUGGCAUCUGUAAUAAAGACAGUUUUACUUCAUUCUUUAGAAUCUUUUCUUUUGUUAACCCAAUUGCAUUGCUAGAACCUCUGGUGAAAACUAUCUCUGUCUUGUUCCUGGCCUUAGGGGAAAAGCAUUCAGCCUUUCUCUUAAGAAUGUGAUGCUAGCUAUAGGUUUUGCUUAGACGUCCUGACCAAGUUGAGGCAGUUCCCCCUCUAUUCUUAAGUUGCUGAGAGUUUUUAUCUGCAGUGGAUGUUGGAUUUUGUCAAAUGCUUUUUCUCCAUCUAUUGAGAUGUUCGUGUGUGUGUGUGUGUUUUAAGUUUGUUAAUAUGGGGAAUUACGUUGAUUGAUUUUCUAAUGUUAAACCCCAAGAAAAACUUCCCUCAGAAGUCUUUUUGUGUUAUCAAGAUAAGUCACCAUCCAUUUUCCUCCAUUUCCUGAGGAAAGAGUUGGGAUGUGACCCAGAGCAAGUGCGGUGGGAGGAAGAAAAUUUUAAGUAUGAAAGGUAAAAACCAAGCCUUAUUAGCCAGUCACUCCCUGGACUCUAUCUGCAUUGUGCCAAUACGAAGAAGUUGAUGAAUGGAGUUUGGCUGAAGGGUAGGGAGAGCUCUGGGGAUAGCUUCACGGCUUUUGGAGAAGAGAUAGGAGAUGCCCCUGAGGGAUGGACAGAGGUGGGCCUCUGGGUGCCUUAGAGACAUUGUUCAUAUGUCAUUGCCAUUUUACUUAUCAAUGGAAGAAAAAUGCAGCUAGACACCAAGAACUUCCCUACUGCUACUAGGAUUCCACUGGCCCUUGGUAUACGACACUUGUCACCUCCUUUCAGUUCUUCUCUCAAGCUGGUACUUUAGUGAUUAGCUUAAAAAUCCAAAUAUGGUCAUGUUACUGUCUGCCCUAUAACUUGAAUGCCUAUGAAAUAAGAUAUCUAUCCCUUUAGCAUGACUUACAAAGCCCUUUACAAUCUCUCCUCAACCUAUCUGUCCAAGUCUUUCUUCCUUUGCUUUCUAAGCAUACCCAAUGCAGCAGAAAUACCAAAAUUUCUGAUAUUCAGAAAACAAUACACCUUCUCUCCCAAGCCUCAUUGCCUUUGUCUCCAAUGCCUUUCACCCAUUUUCAAUCUCUUUCUGUCUCUCUCCUUUCAUAGUCUCAGGUUUAGAGUUAUGUUAAGCUCAGUUUUAAUUCAUUGCACGCUAUUGUCUGUGCAAGAGGUUGCCUCUAGCUCCCCAGAACCCCAAAUGAUGCUGUGAUGAGGUUGUACUGAGAAUUUCCCUGGGACAUAGAGGCUCAGAAGUUGAACUGCUGCCCAGGGGUCAUUAGUGUACCUAAUUUGACUAAAUAUUAACAGGUUGUUCUACAGAAUGGCUGCACCAAUAUCUAUAUCCUCCGCAUCUCAGAAACACUUGGCACCAUCUAGCUUUCUAAAUUUCCCAGUCUGAUAGGAAUUAAUUACUGUGAUUUUUGAACAUAUCAUCAUAUGCUCCUUGGCUUUUGAAAUUUCUUCUGUCAAUUUCCUGUCUAUAUCCUUUGCCCCCUUUCCUCUUGACUUUGCCUUCUUCUUCUCCUAAUAGUCCCCUCCGUAUUCCUCACAUGGGACCCAGUCUAAAUGUCACCACCUCUCUGAAACCUUCCCUGAUUACCACAGAGAUUUAAAACCUCCCUCUUUUGAGUGUCUAAGGACUUUGCUUAUACCCAUAGUAGGUGUAUUGUAAUGCACUGCCAUCAUUCAUUUAGUUUUUCUCUCUUUUACUGCAAAAUGAGAGAGAAAUACGUAAUAACACUAGUUCUUUAUUUUAUUUUAUUUUUUUUGAGGAAGAUUAGCCCUGAGCUAACAUCCGUGCCCAUCUUCCUCUACUUUAUAUGUGGCACGCCUACCACAGCAUGGCUUGCCAUGCAGUGCCAUGUAUGCACCUGGGAUCUGAACCAGCGAAUUCCGGGCGCCGAAGCAGAAUGUGUGAACUUAACCGCUGUGCCACCAGGCCGGGCCAACAGUAUUUCUUUAUCAAAGGACAUAACACAAGGCUUGUCACAAAACUAGAUCUCAAUUAUGUUUCAAGAAAGGAAAGAGAGAAUUACACAUAUAUCCUGUGGGCAACAUGAUUAAAAAUAUUUUUAGGAUAAAUUAAUCCAUGAAAUUGACGAGAAUGCUCAUAGAAAUGUAGAUUAUGCAAUAACAUUAGACAUGUUGGAAAUAGAGGACAAUCCUAAAUCCAAUUCUCAAUGCAAACAUUUGUUUCUUUUAAUCUAUAUCUAACUAAGCUGAGUAAGCUCCCUGCUCUCUAACCACAUGCAUUCACAGUGUUUGUUGACAAUGGGCCAAAAGGUAUCACACUGAAUUCACAUGAUUGAAAGGACAGAUUUGUUAACUCAGCAUCUCAAGACACUGCCAAGUACUCUCACAUCAAUUUGCAAAGCCGCCAUUCCAGUUAGAGGUGUCAUCUUGAGGAGCUGCACUUGAAGCUCCAGAAUUGCUUAAAACAAAACAAACACAGAGGUUUAAAUGUCAUAGGUUGAAAAGUCAAAUAGACCUUUGCUGGCGAAGAAAGAUUUUCUAUUCCCAAGCCCAGUGAAUGUGGUCAGGGUUGGCCUUUGAGUUGCAUAAUUAAGGAUAGAAACUGGCUUCAGAGUUCUUAUGAGAGAGGUCCUAUGAGAGUUCCUAUGGUUGGACAGUCUUGGCCAAAGAAAUUAAAAUCAAGUCCUCUGUUUUGCAGCCAUGGAAUGGUAAGUGCUCUAGAUCUGAGACUGGCCAGGUCUUCCCAGAGUAAGUCUGCGGACUGGCCAGCACACCAGAGCUGGAACAUGCAGUUCAGGGCAUCCAUAUGCCAGCUGCUGCCUGGAGUGUGGGGAAGUGGCAUUUGAAUGAGCAGGAGAUCACCACUGACUUGAGCAGGCAAUGUUUCCUCGUGGCUUUCCUGGAACUUCUGCUGACAUAACGUUUGUUCAGUCUUGGUAUGAGACAUGCCAGGACUUUGGAUGGUAACCAAAGGAGAGGAAAUUGGUGUUGAAAUGAGUCAGAUAUUAAAGGGCCUUUAGGAAUUAAUCAGUCUUAAUAAUUGAUCUACAAACAGGCAGGGAAUACCUGGACUGGGCAUUGAUUUCCAGCUUCUUUGUUAUCAAUGAAAAGUUUGGAAUGAGGAUCGACACAAAGUGCAGGCUGGUGGGUGCGCCUUGGUCCUUGGGCUGAGGAAGUGUAUCUCGUGUAGUGGGGGAUUCCGGUUUUUUACAAAGCAGCACCUCUAAGAAGACAAGGAUGAUUGUAAUACUAUAUCGAUUUUACAGAAUGUGUAACUGAGACCCAGAGAGGCUAAUUGUUCUUGCCAAACACCAUUCAUGCCUUCACUCAUCCAGUGAAUACUGAGUAAGGGUCCACCAUUGCCAAUCCCUGUGCAGUCUUUGGAGAUCCAGUGGAGAACAGGACAGAACGGAUCCCUGCAUUCAUUAAGUGCACAUACCUGGUUACCAAAGAUCCUAUGUAAUUAUAACCCUGAUAAAAUGCUCUGAAGGAAAAGAACAACAAGCUGGGAGGGUGUAAAACAGGGGACUCCAACUGGUCUUGGAGAGGUGGGCAGAGGUAGUGAGCUCCUCUUGGAGGUAAUAGCCUUCCUAGGGGGAAGAAACAGUUAAGCUGAGAUCAGAUGAGUAGGCAUUCUCAAGAAGAACAGAAGUGGGGCAGGUUUUGAAGAGAAUCCCAGGCAGAAGGAACAGCAUGUGCCACGGCCUUGAGGGGAGAGAACUCAGAGCAUCUAAAGAAUGGAAGGCUGGUGUGGCUGCUUGGAUGGUUGAUGAUGGGGUGAUGGGGUUGAGGGUGGGGAUAAAGAGAGAGGUCUCAGCCAGACCCCACAAGAGCAGGGAGGCCGUAUUGAGAAUUUUCCUGUUGAUCUUCCAAGCAAUGGGAAGUCAUUAAAGAACUUCAAGAAGGGGAUGACAUUACCUGAUUUGUGUUUGUAAAAGCUCACUCUGGCUGCAGCCUGGAGAAUGGAUGAUGGGGGCUGGAGGAGAUUCCUAUGGACCAGUUGGGAGGCGAUUGCAAUGGUUCUGUUGAGAGAUGUUUGCAGCUUGGAUUAGGGUGGAGGCAGGAGAGAUGGAUGAAAGUGGAUAUCUUGCAAAUAUAUUAUGGAGCAGGUAAGUAGGGGAGGACUUAAGGGAAAAAUAAAGAGACAAAGGAUGAAAAGGAAUGGACAUCCAAGAAAAUAAGAGCUAGUCUUUAGUCUUCUGCUUACAACUCCAGUGUUCAGGAGUAAAUGGUUGUAAGCAGGAUUCAAGACGCAAGAGAGAUGAGCAGAUCCUGACAUAUCAAUCAUGUGACUGUCACCUCCCUGUGGCCUAUCCUGUCACUCUCAUAGCUGCUGCCAUGGAGACUGGUAAACAGGGGGCUGUGCUCUGAGGACAGCAGUGGGAAGGGACCAGCUGGAGAGAGAGCCAGGAGCAGAAUGGAUCUGGUUGGAGGAUGCAGCUGCCAGUCAACAUCCCUCCUGAGCAGUAGAGCUUCAUUUCAAGUCACUCUGUUACGGACCAACAAAAUUUCCAUUCCCCAAGCCACUGUGAACAAGCGAUGCUCCCCUGAGGGGAGAAGGAGAGUGGCAGAGCAGGGAUGAUGUGCAGCCCCCCUCACAUCCUGGGAGCAGUGUCCUCCCCAUUUUCCUAUGCUCAGACGCCUCAGUUUAUCAAAUUAAAAUAUAGAGAAUCAUUUCCUUUGCUCCAACCAAAACAACUAUAGAAAUCACUGUCAUCAUCAUUUUGAGUCAAGCAUACCUAUCAUAAUCUCAUUUUUGGAAAGUUAACAAAAACACAUACAUGCAUUUAUUUAGCACUCACACUUUUCUGGGAUGCUAUUUAUUAAAUCUCUCCAACAAUGUGAGAAAUGGCACUUUGCAGAUAAGAACACUGAGACUAAGGAGGUUUACAUCAUCUGCCUCAAAGUCAUUUAACAAAUAAAUUGGCAGAGCUAAGCCGUACACCCAGGUCUCCUAAAUCUAGCAAGUUUAAUAGUUAGCUCUCCUCUGGACCUAAAAACUUUGAGUUUCAGAACUGUACCCCUGUGAUUGCAGCAUCCAGGGGGGAGGUUCUGAGCUGGGGCAGGGCCGGGGAGCUUGGUGUGUGCCUGGUGCUCAUGGCCUCUAGCUCUUACCCUCUUACACUACCAAGAACUAGCGUCUGGAAAGGGUCCUCCUUCUUCUCUAUGAACUGGCGGGAAAGCACCUCCACCUCCUCCACCCAACACACACUAGCACACACGCUGGGAGGAAGAUAUGAGACAUUUCCUCACUGUGUCAUUGCACAGGAAAAGGGUUCUCUGAGGUGUUAAUAUAUUCUGUCCAACUGGAGCUCUAAUGAGCCCCGCAGGGGAGACUGUGUGCUGGUCCAGGCUCAGCAGUUCCUUCUCACGGGGUCUUCUGAUGCUUCAGCUUUUCAGGAGUCCCUGAGGUCCUAGAAGAGCCCAGGCUGCUUCCCAGAGACAGGGUGGGACUUCUGGACUCAACAUCCAUUUGUCUAUGCAGGCAAAGAGGAAUUGCAAGGUAUUGCGGUCAGUUCUCCAUUACUCUGACCGAGGUGAAUAAAUAUCUUCAAGAACAUUUGCUACAGGCAGUGGCUGCCUGAAAAACAAUGCUCAAGUCAUUGCUCUUUGCACCUGCAGCCCUUGGUCCCAUUGAGCUGUGCAGGCUCCAGAGCUGUUGUGUCUGCUUGGGGUCUCUGGAACCUUAGAGCCUGCCUCACCUUCCCCAGUUUGCUCUGUCCUGUGGGGCCUGGCCUGCAGACUGCAUUUCCCUGACUUUCUCUGGGUUCAGACAAUGGAGGAAUCGGUGAGAAACUGAAGGCAGUAAAUUGGAAGAAGCCAGAGUUCUUUUCUGCUUCCACCCCACCUCCAGCAGCAUCACUAGCGUCAGCCGUGUCUCCCUCAAGGCACUCCUCCCCUUCUCUGUCUCUGUGUCUCUCUCGUCUCUGUUUCUCUGUCUCUAAUUCUUUCCCCUUCUCUUUUUUUCUCUCUCAUCUCCUUCCUUUGCGUCUGUGGAAAACCUAGCUGUUUGACCACAAGGCCAUUAACAAAGCACUGCCACUUGAUAAGGGACUUAUCAGCUACUGAUUUGGAAAGUGAGCACAUGCCUAUUUUUGGAAGAUACCCUAGAAAUCACGGUGCUCCUCAACACUCUGUCCCAUCUUGAGGAUGAUGCUGGCCUGGGCUGGGCCUUCUCAGGCAUGCUGGAUCUCAGGGGUUAAUAACAAUGUGGAGUACUUAGGGCGUUUGGUAACACAAUGGUCCAUUUCAUAAACUUGGGACACCUGCUAUUCCAACGUAACAUUUGGCUGUGACCUGACCACACAUUUUGAACUAUUGGCUUAUCCUCUGAACCUUGAAAUUCCUGCGGAUUCCAGAUUUGACCCGUAAGUAUUCUCAGGAAAUGGUAGUUUUGUUGUUUGUUUGUCUGUUUUCCUUUUAGGACCCAACACUUGUAGACCAAGGUUAUUCUUCGAUAAUAUAGACGAUGGUGUGAGACUCGCCUGAAACGCGGGUGCAUGACAGGGGGUUCUUCACAAAGAAGCCACUCGUUAGCAUCGAAAGAAGCCACUGGAAAUCCAUGGGCAACAUUUAAAACCUGUGGGAAAAAAUAUAGUAUUUACCCUUGAAAAAUCUCCAGUUCUGAAGAGUGGGCUUUCACAUCCAAUGUGGGACUGGGAACUCCAUGUUCUCCCUUGCCGCGCUCCUCCUGUGCACCAGUCGACAUGCUGGGGGCUGGGCAUCUAAAGGUUUCUGAGGUUCAGUUGCUCCUCAGCAGGAAGAAAGGGCAUGAAAGGGCAAUGAAAAUGAAUGUGAAAUGCACUUUGGCUGAAUCAUUAACUUCCAUUUAGCAAGUCAGAGAAGGCUUCAUCCAUCAAAGGGAGUAAAAUGUGAGAUGGAUCUGGCCCAUGGCAGGUAUUUGGCCAUGUUUGUUGAUUAAAUGCAUGAGUACAUGAAUGCCAGAGUACUUUUUUCUUCCUUUGGUGAGGAAGAUUGGUCCUGAGCUAACAUCUGUGCCAAUCUUCCUCUAUAGUGUAUGUGGGAUGCCACCACAGCAUGGCUUCACGAGCUGUAUGUAGGUUCACGCCCAGAAUCUGAACCUAUGAACCCCAGGCUGCCAAAGCAGAGAGUAUGAACUUAACCACUACACCACCAGGCUGGCCCCCAAGUAGAUUUUUAUCAACUUGAAAAACCGAGAUCAGCCAGCAGAAAGAGCAUAUUCAAAUGCAUCAGAAGAGAACAUACGUUUUUCUAAACCAGAACAUCAGCAUGUCCUUUUGUAAUCAUUUUUCUGGCUGUUUCUGAAUUGGAAUGUGCAGUCCUGGAACUUAUAGGCUUCAAGAGGCCUAGAGGAUCAGAAACAAGGAGCUGAUUUGAAAAUAAAGGUUAUGAAAAAUGGAAAGGAAAGUUCACGUGUGGAUACAGCAAGAAGGCAGCUGUCUACAAGCCAGGAAGAGAGCUCUCACUGGGAAGUGAAUCUGCUAGCAUCUUGAUCUUGGACUUCCAGCCUCCAGAACUAUGAGAAAUAAAUUUCUGUUGUUUAAGCUUCCCA